rnacentral:rRNA from 1 species
CAGUCGCCGCGGUGAUACGUAGGGGGCAAGCGUUGUCCGGAAUCAUUGGGCGUAAAGCGCGUGUAGGCGGCUCGAUAAGUCUGCUGUGAAAGUUCAGGGCUCAACCCUGAAAUGCCGGUGGAAACUGUCGAGCUUGAGUCCGGAAGAGGCAAGUGGAAUUCCUGGUGUAGCGGUGAAAUGCGCAGAUAUCGGGAGGAACACCAAUGGCGAAGGCAGCUUGCUGGGACGGUACUGACGCUGAGACGCGAAAGCGUGGGGAGCAAACAGGAUUAGAUACCCCUGUAGUCCCUGUCUCUUAUAC